UUGAAACAGUGCUUCUAAAUAUGCUCUGAUUGAUCUUCAUGAUCGUUUGGUCCGUGCUUGCUACCCGGAAGCCCUUUUGAAAUUUGUUGAGGACACAGAAUCUACUAGUACAUCAGGGAAUAAAAGUAAAGGGGAAGACAUAGAUGCUUGUUUGGAUGAAGUGAAUAAGGACUCCAAGGUGUGGCAGCAUGGCAGUAUGGUUGCAUUAGAUUGGCU